rnacentral:rRNA from 1 species
CAAAAACAUGUCUCUUAGAAAAUAUUAAGAGUCGGGCCUGCCCAGUGAUCACUUUAACGGCCGCGGUACCCUGACCGUGCAAAGGUAGCAUAAUCAUUUGCCUUUUAAUUGGAGGCUAGUAUGAAAGGUCUGACGAGAGUAAAACUGUCUCAUAUAUAUUCAAUAAAAAUUAACCUAAAGGUGCAAAGGCCUUUAUUUACUAAAAAGACGAGAAGACCCUGUUGAGCUUUAAUCUUAAUGAACAUUUUCCUUAUAUUGCAUAAAUUUAUUUUGCUCACUAAAGAUUUUAAUUGGGGCGAUUAAGGAACAACCAUCAGCUUCCUGAAUUCACUUUAAAAUAUCUAUAAAUUAAAUCGAUCCAACAAUGUUGAUCAACAAAACGAGUUACCACAGGGAUAACAGCAUAAUUCUCUUCAAGAGCUCAUAUCGAAAAGAGAGUUUGUGACCUCGAUGUUGGACUAGGGUAACUAGAAGGUGCAGCCGCUUUCUUGUUUGGUCUGUUCGACCAAUAAUUCCCUACGUGAUCUGA